GACGAACGCUGGCGGCGUGCUUAACACAUGCAAGUCGAACGGAAAGGCCCUGCUUUUGUGGGGUGCUCGAGUGGCGAACGGGUGAGUAACACGUGAGUAACCUGCCCUUGACUUUGGGAUAACUUCAGGAAACUGGGGCUAAUACCGGAUAUGAGCUCCUGCUGCAUGGUGGGGGUUGGAAAGUUUCGGCGGUUGGGGAUGGACUCGCGGCUUAUCAGCUUGUUGGUGGGGUAGUGGCUUACCAAGGCUUUGACGGGUAGCCGGCCUGAGAGGGUGACCGGCAACAUUGGGACUGAGAUACGGCCCAGACUCCUACGGGAGGCAGCAGUGGGGAAUAUUGCACAAUGGGCGGAAGCCUGAUGCAGCAACGCCGCGUGCGGGAUGACGGCCUUCGGGUUGUAAACCGCUUUCGCCUGUGACGAAGCGUGAGUGACGGUAAUGGGUAAAGAAGCACCGGCUAACUACGUG
rnacentral:rRNA from 1 species